rnacentral:lncRNA from 1 species
UAUUUUUAAAAGUCAAUUAUUAUCCAUUGCAUGGCCAUGCGGACGCCCAAACGACAUCGUAUUGGUCACAUUCAAUAUGGGCCAUUAAUCUCAAACUGAUCAACGGCCAGGAUUCCAUCUCUUUUACCCGUUAGUCAAGCCCGACCCGUUACCUAUCCAACGCCCCUCUUAUCCCAAACAACGCCGUUCUUCAUUAAGGGAUUAAUCCAGGCCGUUGAUCGUAAUUGAUCCAACGGUCAAGAUCAAAUUGCCCCUCUACUAUAUAUUCCUAAUUUCUUACCCAUCCCCCCAAGCCAACCCCUCUUCGUCUCUCAAACCUCGUCUCUUUCAGAGACGGGAACCCUAGCCCCGCGCCCCUUUCCUUUCACAGUAAACCCGGCGGCACCGGCUCCGAUGGCAUGAAACUAACACCCCUAGAGCACCUAACCACCCUCUUCACGAAUCCCUUGCCCGUUUUCCUCGAAUCACCUCCCAUUCGAAUCUUCAAUUAAAGAUUCGAGCAAAACCUAAACCUACCCCAAUCUACCCCAAACUCACACCCCGUCACCCCUGACCUCCCUCGUAACCAAACCACCUUUGGUUUGGUUCAAAUUAGGCUUAAAAAGUUUGAAUCCCAAAUCAAACAAAACAGAACCCUAGACCAAUAGAUGGAGCCUGUCCGAGAUUAGGAGAAAUUUGGGGUUCCUAAUCGAUCUUAGUCGAGUGUUCUCACAAGAACACUCGAUUAAGAUCCAUUUGACCCCAAAAAAGGUUCGAGUCCAAGAUUGAUGAAGUACGUUUGGUAUUUGAUCCACUGAGGUAUUCUUCCCCUCUUCUUCUCGUUCUAUUUUAUUAGUAUUUGUUAUUUAUUUAGUUUUGAUAGUUUCUUUUCAAUUUUUGACAAUUGUUCUGUCCAUCUUCAUAAGACCUUUUGUUCGGUCAAUUUGGUUUCUGUUCGUUGUUGUGUGUAUAUUAGGCUGUGUAAUCGAUUCGAAUAAGGUCGCCUAUUAAUUAAUGUUGUAUUAUAACUCAUUGUUUCUCCCAAUACCACUGAAAUCACCCAAAAUUGCCUGAUUCUAUGUUUCUGAUCCUUUGUUGUUAUUGAAUUGUUUAAAUGAUUGAAUAAGUUUCGUCUAUUAGUCCGUGUUUGACUGUUAGUUCUGGAUUAUAGUAGUUUAAUUUUGGUUUUAAUUUCAUAAGUCCAUUCCAGUCUCCUUCUCCUCUUGCCUCGUGUAUGUUUCUGUCUGUGUAUUGAACUGAAUCUUGUCAUAUAGGAUUAAUUCUACAUGAUGUUUGAAUUGCUUAGUCAUUCGUCAUUUAAUUGAAUGGCUUGGUCACUCAAAUGUCUUGAAUUGCCUGUUUGUUUUCUGUAUCUUGAUUUAAGAUUUUCUGAUUGUUUCUUCUUUUUGAUUUCUAAAAAAUAUUAGUAUGAAUGUGAUUUUUAGUUCAUUUCCACUGUUCUGUUGAAUUUUGAAUUGGUUAUAGCUGGUGUUUUGGUUUAAAUUCUUUUUUAAUGUGCUUGUGUUGAUUUGGAGUCAAUAAUGAGUGUAAUUAGUUAAUUUAUGUUGAACUUUGGAUUGGUUAUAGCUGGUGUUUCGGUUUGACUUCUUUUUUAUGUGCUUGUAUUGAUUAGGAGUCAAUAAUGAGUUUAAUUAGUUAAAUUGAUUAGGUUGGGAUUGGCCUUAGCUGUAGUUAGAAGAUAAUUUUAGAAAUUAGAGGUUUAGUUUUGUUUAGUAUUGAUAUGAAUCAGAACAAUGGCAGUCAGUAUGUUUCAGGGGUAUUUUAGGAAUAAAAAGAAUAAGAAAAUCUGGUGUGACUGAAUAGUCUAUCAUGUAGGAUCACAAUGUGCUUUAAUUUGAAUUAAUUAGUUGGUAGGCACCAUUGAAAAUGAUGAGUGUUGACUACUUUUGCUUAACUGAAAUUAAGGAAAGUGUAAGUGAUGAUAAAAGUAACAUAGAAGAGCAUAUUUUUGGGGCUAGAUAUUAAAGUAAAGGUUAAGUGGAAGGGUAAUGAUAAUAGGGUAGGGUAAUAAUUAAAGGGGAAGGGGAAAUAGGGUCUUGUUUGAAUAAAUAAGAGUCAUUUGGCUAUUUUUAAGGGAUCAGAUUUUAGAGAACAAAGAUUGAAAAAAAAAUCUGAGAUAGAGAAAAAAGAGUUGAGGUUAGUUUAAAAAAAAGAUAGACUUCAAGAGUCAGUUUUGAGAGAGCUUAAAAGAACAGCGAUAUUGAUUUUGAGAGGAAGAACAUUAGACUUUCCAGACAAACAUACAAAAGCUACCAAGAUUCAAAAAAAAAAAAUACUGUUCCAUUCAGUUUCCUAUUUUAAUUUCGAAUUCCGGUAGUUGGUUUUGUUCUUCUAGCCUAGUUUUGAGUUGCUGGAGUUUCUUCUAAGAUCAAUUGUUCAGUUUUGGGUGUGUUCGAAUUAUGUGGGUCGUUUUGAGCUAUAUUUGGUUGGUUCAGUCAUCUCUUGAGAGCUAUUUGUUGGUGUCUUUCAAGCUGAAAUAGUUGUUAGUUGUCUCUUGCUGUGAUAUCACUAUAGAUCGUUGUUACUGCGUUGCUGUUGUGACUGCUGUUGUAUUGCCACUGCUGACCAUUCCUUUCUCUAUUUCAAUUCGAAUUCCAGGUACUUGUCUUGACCCAUGGCGAUGUAGUUUUCAGAAUGUGGAAUGGAAUUUCGUGUUCUUCGCUUGCUGAACCUGUUUGCUUCUGUGUUUAGUUGUAGUUUAGUCUAGUUAGUUUCUAUUUCAUUAAUUGAGUUUUGUAAUUAAACUUGGACUAAGGGACUGAUAUUCACUCAUUUGCCUUGACAUUCAUAAUCUUGUCCUUGUGUAUUUUAGCUACUGAAAUUCCAAAGGUAAGUGGUUCCGAAGUCAUUGGUCUCUAUGUGUAUUAACAUGUUAGAAAAUGAAUUGGGAGUCGAUACAGCAGCCCAGUUUUGUUAAUCACUUGAGUAUUCAUGGCAUACUCAUCAAAGCUCAGAAGCCUGUUUAAGGUCGCUCUUCCUGAUGCGGGCCCAGGCCAAGGCUUAUUUUUGACCAGUCCUUGUUGGUGGACUGAAGUUCCAAAUUAUGUCUUUUGGGCUUACCUUUGAACUUAAUGGCAUGUUUAAUUUAAAAGUAUUGCCUGGCUUGUAUUAGGCCAAUGACAAAUUAAUUAGGACUUUUCUUUUAUUAUUAGAGACAAAUAAAAACUGAAAUGUAGUCGCUUUAGGAUAUCCUUUUAAAAAAUGAAUGAGAUGAGCCUCGCCAAAUAAAACACACGAGCUGUGGGGCCCUCAAUAAAUAUAUAACAAUUGGAUAGACUUUGGAUUUGGUCGCUUAGCGAAUUUUUGGUGCCUUUUCCCAAAAAAACGACACAUUAGUCUCUUUAGGACGCGUCUUUAAUAAAAUUACCUCCCUAAAUACUGGUGUGCAUUUAUGCAACCCAAAUCCUAAUCUCGAUGAAGUUAAAAUGUGUCGACGACCACGUGUACACUGGUUGUGACGUGGUUCGAGAUACGUUUU